rnacentral:rRNA from 1 species
CAGUAGCCACGGUAAUACGAAGGGUGCAAGCGUUACUCGGAAUUACUGGGCGUAAAGCGUGCGUAGGUGGUGGUUUAAGUCCGUUGUGAAAGCCCUGGGCUCAACCUGGGAAUUGCAGUGGAUACUGGGUCACUAGAGUGUGGUAGAGGAUAGUGGAAUUUCCGGUGUAGCAGUGAAAUGCGUAGAGAUCGGAAGGAACAUCUGUGGCGAAGGCGACUAUCUGGGCCAACACUGACGCUGAGGCACGAAAGCGUGGGGAGCAAACAGGAUUAGAUACCCCCGUAGUCCCUGUCUCUUAUAC